rnacentral:rRNA from 1 species
UACGGAGGGUGCAAGCGUUUAAUCGGAAUUACUGGGCGUAAAGCGUGCGUAGGCGGUUCGUUAAGUCUGUUGUGAAAGCCCCGGGCUCAACCUGGGAAUGGCAAUGGAUACUGGCGAGCUAGAGUGUGUCAGAGGAUGGUGGAAUUCCCGGUGUAACGGUGAAAUGCGUAGAGAUCGGGAGGAACAUCAGUGGCGAAGGCGGCCAUCUGGGACAACACUGACGCUGAGGCACGAAAGCGUGGGGAGCAAACAGG